rnacentral:rRNA from 1 species
CCUACGGGUGGCAGCAGUGAGGAAUAUUGGUCAAUGGACGAGAGUCUGAACCAGCCAAGUCGCGUGAAGGAUGACUGCCCUAUGGUUUGUAAACUUCUUUUAUAUGGGAAUAAAAUUUUCCACGUGUGGGAUUUUGCAUGUACCAUAUGAAUAAGGAUCGGCUAACUCCGUGCCAGCAGCCGCGGUAAUACGGAGGAUUCGAGCGUUAUCCGGAUUUAUUGGGGUUAACGGGUGCGUAGGGCGUGAGUUAAGUCAGCGGUUAAAGUUGGGGGCUCAACCUUCACCUUGCCGUUGAAACUGGUUGUCUUGAGUGGGUGCGAGGUAUGCGGAAUGCGUGGUGUAGCGGUGAAAUGCAUAGAUAUCACGCAGAACUCCGAUUGCGAAGGCAGCAUACCGGCGCUCAACUGACGCUGAGGCACGAAAGUGUGGGUAUCGAACAGGAUUAGAUACCCGAGUAGUC